rnacentral:rRNA from 1 species
AUUGAACGCUGGCGGCAGGCCUAACACAUGCAAGUCGAGCGGAUGAAGGGAGCUUGCUCCUGGAUUCAGCGGCGGACGGGUGAGUAAUGCCUAGGAAUCUGCCUGGUAGUGGGGGAUAACGUCCGGAAACGGGCGCUAAUACCGCAUACGUCCUGAGGGAGAAAGUGGGGGAUCUUCGGACCUCACGCUAUCAGAUGAGCCUAGGUCGGAUUAGCUAGUUGGUGGGGUAAAGGCCUACCAAGGCGACGAUCCGUAACUGGUCUGAGAGGAUGAUCAGUCACACUGGAACUGAGACACGGUCCAGACUCCUACGGGAGGCAGCAGUGGGGAAUAUUGGACAAUGGGCGAAAGCCUGAUCCAGCCAUGCCGCGUGUGUGAAGAAGAUCUUCGGAUUGUAAAGCACUUUAAGUUGGGAGGAAGGGCAGUAAGUUAAUACCCUGCUGUUUUGACGUUACCAACAGAAUAAGCACCGGCUAACUUCGUG